rnacentral:rRNA from 1 species
AUACGGAGGGUGCAAGCGUUACUCGGAAUCACUGGGCGUAAAGCGCGCGCAGGCGGCUAUUUAAGUUGGAUGUGAAAGCCUACGGCUCAACCGUAGAACUGCAUCCAAAACUAUUUAGCUAGAGUGUGGGAGAGGAAGAUGGAAUUAGUUGUGUAGGGGUAAAAUCCAUAGAGAUAACUAGGAAUACCAAAAGCGAAGGCAAUCUUCUGGAACACUACUGACGCUGAGGCGCGAAAGCGUGGGGAGCAAACGGGAUUAGAAACCCGAGUAGUCC